GCUUGCUUUGGCAGUGCAUGUACUAAAAUUGGAACAACACUGAGAGAAGAUUAGCAUGGCCCCUGAGCAAAGAAUGACAUCUAGCUCUGUGAAGUGUUCUAUAUAUUU